CUACGGGUGGCUGCAGUGAGGAAUUUUGCGCAAUGGGGGGAACCCUGACGCAGCAACGCCGUGUGAGUGAAGAAGGCCUUUGGGUCGUAAAGCUCUGUCAACUGGGAAGAAGUUACUAUGCUUAAAUAGAGUGUAGUAUUGACGGUACCAGUGGAGGAAGCGUCGGCUAACUCCGUGCCAGGCAGCCGCGGUAACACGGGGGACGCAAGCGUUAUUCGGAAUUAUUGGGCGUAAAGGGCGCGUAGGCGGUCUUGUCGGUCAGGUGUGAAAGCCCGGGGCUCAACCCCGGACGUGCACUUGAAACAGCAAGACUUGAGUACGGGAGAGGAAAGCGGAAUUCCUGGUGUAGAGGUGAAAUUCGUAGAUAUCAGGAGGAACACCGAUGGCGAAGGCAGCUUUCUGGACCGAAACUGACGCUGAGGCGCGAAGGCGUGGGUAGCGAACGGGAUUAGAUACCCGUGUAGUC
rnacentral:rRNA from 1 species